rnacentral:rRNA from 1 species
CAGCCGCCGCGGUAAAACGAAGGGGGCUAGCGUUGCUCGGAAUUACUGGGCGUAAAGGGCGCGUAGGCGGACAGUUCAGUCGGGGGUGAAAGCCCGGGGCUCAACCUCGGAAUUGCCUUCGAUACUGGCUGUCUUGAGUAUGAGAGAGGUGUGUGGAACUCCGAGUGUAGAGGUGAAAUUCGUAGAUAUUCGGAAGAACACCAGUGGCGAAGGCGACGCACUGGCUCAUUACUGACGCUGAGGCGCGAAAGCGUGGGGAGCAAACAGGAUUAGAUACCCCAGUAGUCCCUGUCUCUUAUAC